CUUGCUUCCUGCAUAACCCCAUACGGGCCAUACCGGCGUCCUGCAACUAGCUAUGAACGGAAGGAUCAUGCGCAUACUGCACAUGGACACAUCUAGGUAGAUCUUGGACGUCUAAUUGGGUGUUUAGGAGCUCUAAUUGGGCGUUAGUGGAGUACGAGGAGUGAGGUCAGGGGUGCUUAAUUAUUAUUCCAUAAAGUUUCUUUAUUACGGGUUGUUAGGAUGGAAAGGGACCCUUCAAAAUCAACCUGAAAUUAAGUCAAGACAAAGAAAUAUUCUCUGUGGGCUUAGAUCCCCAAUGACCAGGGAGCUAAAUUAAAUAGGAUUUUUCUCCAUGGCCUGUACUAGUGAUAUAUGUUUUCAUAGUUUAAGACUAUGCCUAUUAGUUUUUGAUAUUAAUCAUGUGCCUUGCUCCAUGGCGGAAACAGACAAUACCAAUUCUGAAACAGUUUCGGUUAGUGGCAGAAGUUCACAUGGUUUCUGCCUUGGGAAUUUCCGAAGACCACAGAAAUCAUGUGAGAAUGAAGAGAGCUGUGGAUCUUGCAAUUGUUGGAGGGGUUUUGUUCUUAUGACUUAUGUAUGAUUGUGCAGGUACUGGAAUUAACAAGCCGGAUUACCUUGCGACGGUGGAUUUGGACCCCGCCUCUCCUACAUACUCCCAAGUGAUCCACAGGCUCCCAGUGACCCACAUUGGUGACGAGCUGCAUCACUCUGGCUGGAACUCUUGCAGCUCCUGCCAUGGUGAUCCAUCAGCAAAACGCC
rnacentral:lncRNA from 1 species